rnacentral:misc_RNA from 1 species
AAAUUGAUUUAAGUCUUGCAUGCAUAAUUAUGAAAAAUAUAAUUUACAAAAUUGGUCUUUAGCCACACUGAUUGAUAAUAAGACAUAUUAAAUAUAGUUAUUAACAAUGCUAUACCUUGGCUUUGAGUAAGAAAAGUGCUGAAAUAGUGUGUUUGGAUGAUUUGGGCUACCUAAUUAACCACCUAUUCAUAAAGCACAAUAAACUUACCUUUUCAUUAAGCUGUUGGAUUUCCCUCCCUUGACACUCACUCACUCAAGCUCAGUGCCGCUUCCCUAUACAAUACGAGGACAGUAACUUAACAUGAGGGGUGCUGGCAGUAGGUUCAGUUAUUGGACCUAGUGGAGGAGGUCUUGUAGCACCGGUAGUGCCAGUUUCAAAGGCAGAAGGGGCAGCAGGAUCUGCCAUAAGAAAUCCAGUAAGAUCUGCUAAUUGAUAAUCAGAGUCAAAAUCUGAAGAAUCAAUCAUGUCAGAGUCAUUCGAAGGUGAUUGAUCAGCCGGUACGAUGGAUAAUUGAGGAGGAAUGAAAGAUUGCCAGUUCAAGACUUCUUCAGCAGCAGUGAAGGAGAGCAGCCUCCCUUGAUCCUCCUUGCAAUCAAUCAUCUUCUGAGACAUAAUGUUUCGUUUUGAUCUCCAACUGCACUUCAUUGAGCUUGAACAGUUCUCGAACCAUUGCUGCAAACUAGGGUUCAAACACGAGGACAAAUUUAAAAGCAAUCGAUGAAACAACUCAUUUCAAAUUCCCAAUUUUGAAAGGCAUGGACAAUGUCCCGGUGAUUGGGCGAAUUAAAUUGAUUUGAAACCCUAGAAGAGAAAUGAUAUUCAACGGCAAGGUGAUUUUCAUUGUUCCCG